rnacentral:rRNA from 1 species
UACGUAGGGUGCGAGCGUUGUCCGGAAUUACUGGGCGUAAAGAGCUCGUAGGUGGUUUGUCGCGUUGUUCGUGAAAACCGGGGGCUUAACCCUCGGCGUGCGGGCGAUACGGGCAGACUUGAGUACUGCAGGGGAGACUGGAAUUCCUGGUGUAGCGGUGGAAUGCGCAGAUAUCAGGAGGAACACCGAUGGCGAAGGCAGUUCUCUGGGCCGUAACUGACGCUGAGGAGCGAAAGCGUGGGGAGCAAACAGG